UCACUUUUCUUGCUUCUGGGCCAAGUAUCUUCACUUUUCCAGGUUAAUAUAACUGUCGGAUGAAGCUGAUUAUGUGGUAGAUUGCUAAUAGUUGUUGAUCGAUUGGUCAGAUAUCCAUUAUAUUGAUGUUCUCAUGUUAAAUAUUAAUGUACUGGUUUUUGUUA